rnacentral:lncRNA from 1 species
CAGGCAUCCCCUAUAGGUGUUUUUAAUUGUAUGGAUUGGUGAGACUAGGCCACUGACCAACCUACAUUAAAUUUAUAAGAUUUAUACAUUCCAAGACUUAUAGUUCAUAAAUUACACAAUUUACAAGGUUUACAGACAUCAGGUAACGUCCUGUGCAGAGUAAAACAUGGUAGGUGCCACACUCAUUUCCUUUUCUGUCUGCACAGAUCUCAUGUUCAUUAGAUUAUUGUGAUGGCUAUAUUCUAACUUGGGACAAAUGGAACAGAUUUCAUGCCGGUCUUGUGGAGGAUAAGUCACUCGGCUGGUGCAGUGCUGCUUCCUGAGAAUGCUACAGAGAAGAAUCUAGAUCUAGCCUGCACACCGUUUCUCCCCUUCAACAGGCACAAGACUCGUAAAUGUGAGGGAAAGAAAAAUCAGGGGUUACAAAGAGCUUUUAUGGCAAUUUCUUCUCUAUCAGGUGGCAACGUGAAAAGCUUUGACAUUAUUAAACCUCCUAAAGCUUAUUCCCAAGUUUAGGACUUAUCUGGUAAGCUGACUAAAGAAUAGUUUCCCUUUUGAUUAGACUCCGUUAUAUAGAAACUUCUCAUCUGAGUUUUAA